rnacentral:rRNA from 1 species
AGAGUUUGAUCCUGGCUCAGAAUGAACGCUGGCGGCGUGCUUAACACAUGCAAGUCGCACGAGAACUCUUUAGCUUGCUAAAGAUAGUAAAGUGGCGCACGGGUGAGUAACGCGUGGGUAAUCUUCCUUCAAAUUGGGGAUAACUCGCCGAAAGGCGGGCUAAUACCGAAUAAUAUCUUUUAAGCUUCGGUUUUUAAGAUCAAAGGUGGCCUCUAUUUAUAUGCUACUGUUUGAAGAUGAGCCCGCGUACCAUUAGCUUGUUGGUAGGGUAAUGGCCUACCAAGGCUCCGAUGGUUAGCUGGUCUGAGAGGAUGAUCAGCCACACUGGAACUGACACACGGUCCAGACUCCUACGGGAGGCAGCAGUGAGGAAUUUUGCGCAAUGGGGGAAACCCUGACGCAGCAACGCCGCGUGAGUGAUGAAGGCCUUCGGGUCGUAAAGCUCUGUCAAGUGGGAAGAAUCUGAUUGAUGAUAACACCAUUAAUCACUGACGGUACCACUGAAGGAAGCACCGGCUAACUCCGUGCCAGCAGCCGCGGUAAUACGGAGGGUGCAAGCGUUAUUCGGAAUCAUUGGGCGUAAAGGGCGCGUAGGCGGUUUUUUAAGUCAGAUGUGAAAGCCCGGGGCUUAACCCCGGAAGUGCAUUUGAAACUGAAAGACUUGAGUAUGGGAGAGGGAAGUGGAAUUCCUGGUGUAGAGGUGAAAUUCGUAGAUAUCAGGAGGAACACCGGUGGCGAAGGCGACUUCCUGGACCAAUACUGACGCUGAGGCGCGAAGGCGUGGGUAGCAAACAGGAUUAGAUACCCUGGUAGUCC